UCAUUAUUGUUGUUGUUGUUGAUGUUAUU
rnacentral:piRNA from 1 species